CCUACGGGUGGCAGCAGUGGGGAAUAUUGGGCAAUGGGCGCAAGCCUGACCCAGCAACGCCGCGUGAAGGAAGAAGGCUUUCGGGUUGUAAACUUCUUUUAAGCGGGAAGAGCAGAAGACGGUACCUCUUGAAUAAGCCACGACUAAAUACGUGCGAGAAGACGCGCUAAUACGUAGGUGGCAAGCGUUGUCCGGGUUUACUGGGUGUAAAGGGCGUGCAGCCGGGAAGAAAAGGCAAAUGUGAAAUCCCGGGGCUCAACCGCGGAAGUGCAGUUGAAACUGUUUUUCUUGAGUACGGGAGAGGUCAGCGGAAUUCCUGGUGUAGCGGUGAAAUGCGUAGAUAUAAGGAAGAACACC
rnacentral:rRNA from 1 species